GAUGAACGCUGGCGGCGUGCCUAAUACAUGCAAGUCGAACGCACAGCGAAAGGUGCUUGCACCUUUCAAGUGAGUGGCGAACGGGUGAGUAACACGUGGACAACCUGCCUCAAGGCUGGGGAUAACAUUUGGAAACAGAUGCUAAUACCGAAUAAAACUCAGUGUCGCAUGACACAAAGUUAAAAGGCGCUUUGGCGUCACCUAGGGAUGGAUCCGCGGUGCAUUAGUUAGUUGGUGGGGUAAAGGCCUACCAAGACAAUGAUGCAUAGCGGAGUUGAGAGACUGAUCGGCCACAUUGGGACUGAGACACGGCCCAAACUCCUACGGGAGGCUGCAGUAGGGAAUCUUCCACAAUGGGCGAAAGCCUGAUGGAGCAACGCCGCGUGUGUGAUGAAGGCUUUCGGGUCGUAAAGCACUGUUGUAUGGGAAGAACAGCUAGAAUAGGGAAUGAUUUUAGUUUGACGGUACCAUACCAGAAAGGGACGGCUAAAUACGUGCCAGCCGCCGCUGUAA
rnacentral:rRNA from 1 species